UACGUAGGGUCCGAGCGUUGUCCGGAAUUACUGGGCGUAAAGGGCGCGUAGGCGGCCUUCUAAGUCGAACGUGAAAUCCCCGGGCUCAACCCGGGAACUGCGUCCGAUACUGGAAGGCUUGAAUCCGGGAGAGGGAUGCGGAAUUCCAGGUGUAGCGGUGAAAUGCGUAGAUAUCUGGAGGAACACCGGUGGCGAAGGCGGCAUCCUGGACCGGCAUUGACGCUGAGGCGCGAAAGCCAGGGGAGCAAACGGG
rnacentral:rRNA from 1 species